rnacentral:rRNA from 1 species
AACAAGAAAGGGAUGGCUUGCCUCUCGCCCAUCCGUUUGCGGAGUGCACGAGAGGGCAACAGGCACCUGAAGAAACAAAAACGACUCUCGGCAACGGAUAUCUCGGCUCUCGCAUCGAUGAAGAACGUAGCGAACUGCGAUACUUGGUGUGAAUUGCAGAAUCCC